AUUGAACGCUGGCGGCAGGCCUAACACAUGCAAGUCGAACGGUAACAGGAGGAAGCUUGCUUCUUUGCUGACGAGUGGCGGACGGGUGAGUAAUGUCUGGGAAACUGCCUGAUGGAGGGGGAUAACUACUGGAAACGGUAGCUAAUACCGCAUAACGUCGCAAGACCAAAGAGGGGGACCUUCGGGCCUCUUGCCAUCGGAUGUGCCCAGAUGGGAUUAGCUUGUUGGUGGGGUAACGGCUCACCAAGGCGACGAUCCCUAGCUGGUCUGAGAGGAUGACCAGCCACACUGGAACUGAGACACGGUCCAGACUCCUACGGGAGGCAGCAGUGGGGAAUAUUGCACAAUGGGCGCAAGCCUGAUGCAGCCAUGCCGCGUGUAUGAAGAAGGCCUUCGGGUUGUAAAGUACUUUCAGCGGGGAGGAAGGGAGUAAAGUUAAUACCUUUGCUCAUUGACGUUACCCGCAGAAGAAGCACCGGCUAACUCCGUG
rnacentral:rRNA from 1 species